UUGGUGGAAAGCUUUUGCGGUUUGGGAUGGGCCCGCGGCCUAUCAGCUUGUUGGUGGGGUAAUGGCCUACCAAGGCGACGACGGGUAGCCGACCUGAGAGGGUGAUCGGCCACACUGGGACUGAGACACGGCCCAGACUCCUACGGGAGGCAGCAGUGGGGAAUAUUGCACAAUGGGCGCAAGCCUGAUGCAGCGACGCCGCGUGAGGGAUGACGGCCUUCGGGUUGUAAACCUCUUUCGCCAGGGACGAAGCGCAAGUGACGGUACCUGGAGAAGAAGCACCGGCCAACUACGUG
rnacentral:rRNA from 1 species